GAUGAACGCUGGCGGCGUGCCUAAUACAUGCCAGUCGAGCGAACAGACGAGGAGCUUGCUCCUCUGACGUUAGCGGCGGACGGGUGAGUAACACGUGGAUAACCUACCUAUAAGACUGGGAUAACUUCGGGAAACCGGAGCUAAUACCGGAUAAUAUAUUGAACCGCAUGGUUCAAUAGUGAAAGACGGUUUUGCUGUCACUUAUAGAUGGAUCCGCGCCGCAUUAGCUAGUUGGUAAGGUAACGGCUUACCAAGGCAACGGUGCGUAGCCGACCUGAGAGGGUGAUCGGCCACACUGGAACUGAGACACGGUCCAGACUCCUACGGGAGGCAGCAGUAGGGAAUCUUCCGCAAUGGGCGAAAGCCUGACGGAGCAACGCCGCGUGAGUGAUGAAGGUCUUCGGAUCGUAAAACUCUGUUAUUAGGGAAGAACAAAUGUGUAAGUAACUAUGCACGUCUUGACGGUACCUAAUCAGAAAGCCACGGCUAACUACGUG
rnacentral:rRNA from 1 species